GAUGAACGCUGGCGGCGUGCCUAAUACAUGCAAGUCGAGCGAACGGACGAGAAGCUUGCUUCUCUGAUGUUAGCGGCGGACGGGUGAGUAACACGUGGAUAACCUACCUAUAAGACUGGGAUAACUUCGGGAAACCGGAGCUAAUACCGGAUGAUAUUUUGAACCGCAUGGUUCAAAAGUGAAAGACGGUCUUGCUGUCACUUAUAGAUGGAUCCGCGCUGCAUUAGCUAGUUGGUAAGGUAACGGCUUACCAAGGCAACGAUGCAUAGCCGACCUGAGAGGGUGAUCGGCCACACUGGAACUGAGACACGGUCCAGACUCCUACGGGAGGCAGCAGUAGGGAAUCUUGCGCGAUGGGCGAAAGCCUGACGGAGCAACGCCGCGUGAGUGCUGAAGGUCUUCGGAUCGUAAAACUCUGUUAUUAGGGAAGAACAUAUGUGUAAGUAACUGUGCACAUCUUGACGGUACCUAAUCAGAAAGCCACGGCUAACUACGUG
rnacentral:rRNA from 1 species